GAUGAACGCUGACAGAAUGCUUAACACAUGCAAGUCGAUUCGAUUUACCUUCGGGUAUUGAGGAUGGCGGACGGGUGAGUAACGCGUAAGGAACUUGCCUCUUGGUCUGGGACAACUGUUGGAAACGACAGCUAAUACCGGAUAUUAUGAGAUUCUCGCAUGGGAAACUUAUGAAAGCUAUAUGCGCCAAGAGAGAGCCUUGCGUUCCAUUAGCUAGUUGGUGGGGUAACGGCCCACCAAGGCGACGAUGGAUAGCCGGCCUGAGAGGGUGAACGGCCACAAGGGGACUGAGACACGGCCCUUACUCCUACGGGAGGCAGCAGUGGGGAAUAUUGGACAAUGGGCCACAAGCCUGAUCCAGCAAUUCUGUGUGCACGAUGAAGGUCUUCGGAUUGUAAAGUGCUUUCAGUUGGGAAGAAGAAAGUGACGGUACCAACAGAAGAAGCGACGGCUAAAUACGUGCCAGCAGCCGCGGUAAUACGUAUGUCGCAAGCGUUAUCCGGAUUUAUUGGGCGUAAAGCGCGUCUAGGCGGAAAAAUAAGUCUGAUGUUAAAAUGCGGGGCUCAACUCCGUAUUGCGUUGGAAACUGUUUUUCUAGAGUACUGGAGAGGUGGGCGGAACUACAAGUGUAGAGGUGAAAUUCGUANAUAUUUGUAGGAAUGCCGAUGGAGAA
rnacentral:rRNA from 1 species